UUUAAUGAUUCUAAUAGUGUAAGAGUAUUACUAGCUUUCUGAAACUCUUGAUAUAAUUACUAACAAUUUUAAGUUAAAACUAUUAUUACUAUAAUCUCUAACAUAAUUAAAAAUAUUAAGAGAUCUUAUAAAAAAUAAUGAACAAAAUAGAUAAAUCGUAUAAUUUUUUACAAUAAGUUGUCUCACUUGACCCACUUACCAAUUUUUAUAAUUUUUACUAUUUUAGUAAUUAAUGGGAUAAAAGAUUAGGGCAGUUACUUAUUUAGUGGGAUUUGGUAGUUGCAGAAUAAACUAUAAUUUUCUUUUAUACUAUUGUUGAAGAAUAGAUACACAUGUCUACAACUUACUUUUUUCUUUAUCUGGUGUAGGUAGAACUGUUCAUAAGAAAAACUGGUUCUGAAACAACACAGUAUAGUAAACAACACAGUUUCUGAAGUUACAGUGACAUGAUUCAAGAAAUCAGGUGUAAAAUUAAGACUUUAGAGUCUCCCAAAUUCCAUAAAUAAAACCUUGAAUAAGACAACAUAGGAAACUUUUGAGACAACAACAACAAUACUCAAAGGUUUAGUAUGCUUUAUCUCAUUACCCAAAAGAGAAAAAUAAAAGUAUGAAUAAACAACACAGUUUUUGAAGUUACAGUGAUUCAAGAAAUCAGGUGUAAAAUUAAGACUUUAGAGUCUCCCAAAUUCCAUAA
rnacentral:lncRNA from 1 species